rnacentral:rRNA from 1 species
CCCCUCGAGGCCCGCCCCCCCCGGGGGGGGGGCCAGUAGGGAAUCUUCCACAAUGGGCGCAAGCCUGAUGGAGCAACACCGCGUGAGUGAAGAAGGGUUUCGGCUCGUAAAGCUCUGUUGUUGGAGAAGAACGUGCGUGAGAGUAACUGUUCACGCAGUGACGGUAUCCAACCAGAAAGUCACGGCUAACUACGUGCCAGCAGCCGCGGUAAUACGUAGGUGGCAAGCGUUAUCCGGAUUUAUUGGGCGUAAAGCGAGCGCAGGCGGUUGCUUAGGUCUGAUGUGAAAGCCUUCGGCUUAACCGAAGAAGUGCAUCGGAAACCGGGCGACUUGAGUGCAGAAGAGGACAGUGGAACUCCAUGUGUAGCGGUGGAAUGCGUAGAUAUAUGGAAGAACACCAGUGGCGAAGGCGGCUGUCUGGUCUGCAACUGACGCUGAGGCUCGAAAGCAUGGGUAGCGAACAGGAUUAGAUACCCUGGUAGUCCAUGCCGUAAACGAUGAGUGCUAGGUGUUGGAGGGUUUCCGCCCUUCAGUGCCGGAGCUAACGCAUAAGCACUCCGCCUGGGAGACACCCGAAACG